CGAUUCAGGCCUAACACAUGCAAGUCGAGCGGAUGAGAGGAGCUUGCUCCUGGAUUCAGCGGCGGACGGGUGAGUAAUGCCUAGGAAUCUGCCUGGUAGUGGGGGACAACGUUUCGAAAGGAACGCUAAUACCGCAUACGUCCUACGGGAGAAAGCAGGGGACCUUCGGGCCUUGCGCUAUCAGAUGAGCCUAGGUCGGAUUAGCUAGUUGGUGAGGUAAUGGCUCACCAAGGCGACGAUCCGUAACUGGUCUGAGAGGAUGAUCAGUCACACUGGAACUGAGACACGGUCCAGACUCCUACGGGAGGCAGCAGUGGGGAAUAUUGGACAAUGGGCGAAAGCCUGAUCCAGCCAUGCCGCGUGUGUGAAGAAGGUCUUCGGAUUGUAAAGCACUUUAAGUUGGGAGGAAGGGUUGUAGAUUAAUACUCUGCAAUUUUGACGUUACCGACAGAAUAAGCACCGGCUAACUCUGUGCCAGCAGCCGCGGUAAUACAGAGGGUGCAAGCGUUAAUCGGAAUUACUGGGCGUAAAGCGCGCGUAGGUGGUUUGUUAAGUUGGAUGUGAAAUCCCCGGGCUCAACCUGGGAACUGCAUCCAAAACUGGCAAGCUAGAGUAUGGUAGAGGGUGGUGGAAUUUCCUGUGUAGCGGUGAAAUGCGUAGAUAUAGGAAGGAACACCAGUGGCGAAGGCGACCACCUGGACUGAUACUGACACUGAGGUGCGAAAGCGUGGGGAGCAAACAGGAUUAGAUACCCUGAUAGUCCACGCCGUAAACGAUGUCAACUAGCCGUUGGGAGCCUUGAGCUCUUAGUGGCGCAGCUAACGCAUUAAGUUGACCGCCUGGGGAGUACGGCCGCAAGGUUAAAACUCAAAUGAAUUGACGGGGGCCCGCACAAGCGGU
rnacentral:rRNA from 1 species